CCCUUAGAUGUCCGGGGCCGCACGCGCGCUUCACUGAAGGAAUCAGCGUGGCUUUCUCCCUGACCCGAAAGGGUUGGGAAACCCGUUGAAUCUCCUUCGUGAUAGGGAUUGGGGCUUGAAAUUGUUCCCCAUGAACGAGGAAUUCCCAGUAAGCGCGAGUCAUAAGCUCGCGUUGAUUACGUCCCUGCCCUUUGUACACACCGCCCGUCGCUACUACCGAUUGAACGGUUUAGUGAGGGCCUCGGAUUGGUCUCGGCCCGCUCUUUACCGGGCGGCGCCGUUGGUCGAGAAGACGCUCGAACUUGAUCGUUUAGAGGAAGUAAAAGUCGUAACA
rnacentral:rRNA from 1 species